GGCAACAGCGUGCUAGGGGGUGUGGUAGAGCGUGGGGUCGGGGGGUGUGCCGGAAGUAGGGUGCGUAAAGGGGUCGUAGUCGGGUUGUGGCGGCGGGAGUGAAAACUUCGGGCUUAACUCGGAGCGUGCUUUCGAUACGGGCAGACUUGAGGCAUUCAGGGGAGAACGGAAUUCCUGGUGUAGCGGUGAAAUGCGCAGAUAUCAGGAGGAACACCGGUGGCGAAGGCGGUUCUCUGGGAAUGUUCUGACGCUGAGGAGCGAAAGUGUGGGGAGCGAACAGGAUUAGAUACCCGAGUAGUC
rnacentral:rRNA from 1 species